UAGAUAGAAUUACUUUAAAAAUUAAGUCGUAUAAGUCUCUCAAAGAACAAUGUUUUCAGUAAAUGGCUAAAUUGUAAAGAUCUUGUGGAAAAACGGGAAAAAUGCAACUUUAAUUUAUUGUUUCAAACCAUUAAUAUUGUAUUCUCGGUUAAUAAACACUGACUGAUUCUGAACUUCAAUAAAACAAUUUGCAUUCAUUUGACCUAUUUUAGGAUGUGCUUAUUUUUUAUUUUAUUUUUUACUUAAUUUUUAUUAAUUUUUAAUUUUUUCGAAAAAUUCAUGAUCAGAAUAUGUAAACCUUUAAAAAUUUGGAGGACUAAAAUUUUUCACAGCCAAAAUUGUAUCCUUUAACCUACGUUUAGAAAUAAAACUAGUUUAAAAAGAAAAGGAUAAGAUAUUAAAUUUAAAUUUUUACAACGAUUUUGAUAAAAAUCUUGUUUCAAUCGAAAGAGGCAACAUACACUGCUUUAGCAACUAUCUAAUCCAUAAGUGUUUGUACCUCUUUUAUACAGCGGAACAUUACAAUAUACAAGUAUUUGGGACAAAUUUAGGAGGAAUUCAAUAUACACAUAAUUAUCAUUUUUCUUUGGGCACGAAAACUAACGUAAUCUCAUCAAAUUAUAAACUUUUUACACACAUAACGAACGACUCUCAAUGUACAAUAUUAAAAAAAUAUCAACCAAUCGUGAAAAAAAUCAAUACAAAAUAAAAUAUGUCCACCUAUUAACAGUAUGUACAAUCGAACGCUGAUUUUUUUUUUGUAUUUCAAAAUCUACAAUCGGUACAAAGUAUGUACAUUAUCAGUCAAUAUUCUGGUAACAUUUCAAAGUUGUGACCAUUUCAAUCACAAAAGUUAAAUUUCAUACGUAUACUUGCGUUGUUUGCAAUGAAGCAAAUAAUAUUAUUAACAAACUUACGCUUUGCAAUCUGACACCAUGCGAAUCGAAGUUUGCCAUUGAUGUUAUGAUUUGUUCAUGAUUUUACAGAACUGAAUUAUCUUGAUCGCACUUUAGUAAUUAUUUCUGGGUGUAAAAUAUAAAUGUGGUGUUCCACAUUCACGGUGCAGAAAAUUAAGUUCAAUCUAAGUAAGUUCUCAUAAGAAAAUGAAGGACUUGAGCAAUGCCUUAAGGGUCAAUUUGAAUGACAAUGCAUUUUUCUUAACGAAAGAAAUGUGAAAUGUUGAAAAAUAUUCAACUCUCUUCUAUGAAAUUUUACGAGUGAGUAAUUCAAUUAUUGCUUUUAAAUAGUGUAAUUUUUCAAAGUUUUUGAUUCAAUUUUUGUAAUUGGACACUUUUCAAUCUUGCGAAAAGUAUUCCGAAAUGAAUUCAUGAGAAGCAAUAUUCAAGGCAAUAUUAAGGAACGUAAAAUUCUCGCACAUUAUUCAAAAUCUCAAAUUCUUACACUCUGAAGGCUUUUCUCUACUUUAAAAUAGGU
rnacentral:lncRNA from 1 species